AAGAAUGGCGGAAUGGUAGACGCGUUGGACUCAAAAUCCAAUGAUAGUAAUAUCGUGAGGGUUCAAGUCCCUCCAUGGGC
rnacentral:tRNA from 1 species